rnacentral:rRNA from 1 species
UACAGAGGCCUCGAGCGUUGUUCGGAAUUACUGGGCGUAAAGGGAAUGUAGGUGGUGAUGUAAGUCAGAUGUGAAAGCCCUGGGCUUAACCUGGGAAGUGCAUUUGAUACUGCAUUGCUUGAGUGCGAGAGAGGAAAGCGGAAUUCCAGGUGUAGGAGUGAAAUCCGUAGAUAUCUGGAGGAAUACCGAUGGUGAAGACAGCUUUCUGGCUCGUAACUGACACUGAGAUUCGAAAGCUUGGGUAGCAAACAGG